rnacentral:lncRNA from 1 species
GGUGUAUCAGCUAUUUAUCAUUCCUCUCUCCUAAUCUAUCCUAAACCAAAGGCCAGUUACACUUCCUUUGAAAGCCUGGUUCUAAAUGUAUCUCAUACUGAAUCAAAAACCUGCCAGCCAGUCUUAUUUGCGAUAAUUUACCGUCCUCCAGGCCCUUAUUCUGAAUUUCUAUCAGAAUUCUCUGAGUUUAUAUCAAACUUAGUCCUCAGUUCUGAUAAAAUACUGAUAGUAGGAGAUUUUAAUAUCCAUGUGGACAAAGAUAGUGAUAGCCUGAGCUCAGCCUUUAUGUCCCUAAUAGACUCAGUUGGCUUUUUUCAAACUAUUAAUGAAGCUACUCAUCGUUUAAAUCAUACUCUUGAUCUUGUUCUAACAUAUGGCCUUGAUAUUAAUGAACUAAAAGUCUACCCUGAAAAUCCUCUGCUAUCAGAUCACUUUUUAAUAUCUUUUAACAUUAUCCUAGAGGAUCUCGCACUGUGCAAUAAAAUAGUUACAAGUAGAAAUCUAUCCAACAGUGCUGUGGCUAAAUUUAAAGAGGCCAUUCCUGCUGCCUUAAACUCAGUGCACCAUCCAAUAAAUAACUAUGAUAUUAAUUAUAACCCCUCUCAACUGGAUGUGCUUGUCGAUAGCUCUGCUAGUCUACUAAAAUCCACCUUGGACUCAAUUGCCCCAUUGAGGGAAAAAACUAUUAAACGUCAGAGGAAAGCUCCGUGGUUUAGCUCUGAAACUCACACACUCAAACAAACAACCCGUAAAUUAGAGAGAAUGUGGCGCUCCAAUAAAACAGAGGAGUCACGAAUACUUUGGCAAGAAAGCCAUAGUAAAUACAUGACAGCCUUACGACAUAGUCGAUCUACAUACUACUCCUCACUAAUUGAAGAAAAUAAAAAUAAUCCGAGGUACCUUUUCAGCACUGUAGCCAGGCUAACACAAAGUCAGAGCUCUAUUGAGCCCAUGAUUCCUCUAGCCCUCAGCUGUGAGGACUUUAUGACAUUUUUUAACGAUAAAAUUCACAAGAUUAGAGAUAAAAUUAGCCACUCCCUGCCUUCACCUGGGCCUGCUGUACCAUUAAAUGUAAAUAGGCCUAACCUAAACUGUUUCACACAUAUAGGACUUCAGGAACUUAACUCUAUUAUUUCAUCCUCCAAACCAUCGACCUGCCUUUCAGAUCCGAUCCCAACUAAGCUGUUUAAAGAAGUUGUUCCCCUAGUCUGCCCAUCUUUGUUUUGAGACAAUAAAUAUAUCCCUAUCAAUAGGCUACGUGCCACAGUCCUUUAAAGUAGCUGUAAUCAAACCCCUUCUCAAAAAACCUACUCUUGAUUCCAGCACUUUAGCAAACUACAGGCCUAUAUCUAAUCUUCCUUUUAUUUCAAAGAUUCUUGAGAAAGUUGUGGCAGCU